GAAGAACAUUGUUCCUUAUUUCUCCCAUUCUUAGCCAAAUCUCUUACAAGCUUCUCCUUUCUUACCUUAACACUUCUCUUUUUCCCCAAGAAAGCCUAAACUUCCCCUCAGUGCUAAACUCAUGUUGAUUUUGCUCCCAUGCCACAUGCCUCUCAUGCCAAGCUCAAAAGUUUAUCUAUAAGCAUUAAGAAAUCACUUGUAAGUUGUUGUUGUUUUAG
rnacentral:lncRNA from 1 species